UACGUAGGGCGCAAGCGUUGUCCGGAAUUAUUGGGCGUAAAGAGCUCGUAGGCGGCCUGUUGCGUCCGCUGUGAAAUCCCGGGGCUCAACCCCGGGCCUGCAGUGGAUACGGGCUGGCUGGAGGCAGGCAGGGGAGAACGGAAUUCCUGGUGUAGCGGUGAAAUGCGCAGAUAUCAGGAGGAACACCGGCGGUGUAGACGGCUUUCUGGACCGUAGCUGACGCUGAGACACGAAAGCGUGGGUAGCAAACAGG
rnacentral:rRNA from 1 species